CAGCAGCCGCGGUAAUACGGAGGGAGCUAGCGUUGUUCGGAAUUACUGGGCGUAAAGCGCACGUAGGCGGUUAUUCAAGUCAGAGGUGAAAGCCCGGGGCUCAACCCCGGAACUGCCUUUGAAACUAGAUGACUGGAAUCUUGGAGAGGUCAGUGGAAUUCCGAGUGUAGAGGUGAAAUUCGUAGAUAUUCGGAAGAACACCAGUGGCGAAGGCGACUGACUGGACAAGUAUUGACGCUGAGGUGCGAAAGCGUGGGGAGCAAACAGGAUUAGAUACCCCCGUAGUCCCUGUCUCUUAUAC
rnacentral:rRNA from 1 species